AACGAACGCUGGCGGCGCGCCUAAUACAUGCAGUCGAACGAGAAUGUGUAGCAAUACACAUGUACAGUGGCGAACGGGUGAGGACUACAUGGGUAACCUACCCUCGAGUGGGGGAUAACCAGCCGAAAGGUUGGCUAAUACCGCGUACGCUUCCGGGACUGCGGUUUCGGAAGGAAAGCGAUACCGUGGGUAUCGCGCUCUUGGAUGGGCUCAUGCCCUAUCAGCUUGUUGGUGAGGUAACGGCUCACCAAGGCAUCGACGGGUAGCUGAUCUGAGAGGAUGAUCAGCCACACUGGCACUGCGACACGGGCCAGACUCCUACGGGAGGCAGCAGUAAGGAAUAUUGCGCAAUGGGCGAAAGCCUGACGCUGCGACGCCGCGUGGGGGAUGAAGGUCUUCGGAUUGUAAACCCCUUUCAGGAGGGAAGAUGGGAUGGGGUAACCCAUUCGGACGGUACCUCCAGAAGCAGCCACGGCUAACUUCGUGCCAGCA
rnacentral:rRNA from 1 species